AAACCAACAGGGAUUGCCUCAGUAACGGCGAGUGAAGCGGCAAGAGCUCAAAUUUGAAAUCUGGCCUCCUUUGGGGGUCCGAGUUGUAAUUUGUAGAGGAUGCUUCGGGUGUGGCCGCCGUCUAAGUUCCUUGGAACAGGACGUCAGAGAGGGUGAGAAUCCCGUCUUGGACGGCCGGUCCGCGCCCGUGUGAAGCUCCUUCGACGAGUCGAGUUGUUUGGGAAUGCAGCUCUAAGCGGGUGGUAAAUUUCAUCUAAAGCUAAAUAUUGGCCGGAGACCGAUAGCGCACAAGUAGAGUGAUCGAAAGGUUAAAAGCACCUUGAAAAGGGAGUUAAACAGCACGUGAAAUUGUUGAAAGGGAAGCGCUUGCGGCCAGACUCGGGGGCGGGGUUCAGCGGGCGCUCGUCGCCCGUGCACUCCCCGUUCCCCGGGCCAGCAUCAGUUUCGACGGCCGGUCAAAGGCCCCCGGAAUGUGUCGUCUCUCGGGACGUCUUAUAGCCGGGGGUGCAAUGCGGCCCGCCGGGACUGAGGAACGCGCUUCGGCUCGGAUGCUGGCGUAAUGGCCGUAAGCGGC
rnacentral:rRNA from 1 species